AUUGAACGCUGGCGGCAGGCCUAACACAUGCAAGUCGAACGGUAACAGGAAGAAGCUUGCUUCUUUGCUGACGAGUGGCGGACGGGUGAGUAAUGUCUGGGAAACUGCCUGUUGGAGGGGGAUAACUACUGGAAACGGUAGCUAAUACCGCAUAACGUCGCAAGACCAAAAAGGGGGACCUUCGGGCCUCUUGCCAUCGGAUGUGCCCAGAUGGGAUUAGCUAGUAGGUGGGGUAACGGCUCACCUAGGCGACGAUCCCUAGCUGGUCUGAGAGGAUGACCAGCCACACUGGAACUGAGACACGGUCCAGACUCCUACGGGAGGCAGCAGUGGGGAAUAUUGCACAAUGGGCGCAAGCCUGAUGCAGCCAUGCCGCGUGUAUGAAGAAGGCCUUCGGGUUGUAAAGUACUUUCAGCGGGGAGGAAGGGAGUAAAGUUAAUACCUUUGCUCAUUGACGUUACCCGCAGAAGAAGCACCGGCUAACUCCGUG
rnacentral:rRNA from 1 species